CUAUACGUUGCCUCGGCGGAUCAGCCCGCGCCCCGUAAAACGGGACGGCCCGCCCGAGGACCCCUAAACUCUGUUUUUAGUGGAACUUCUGAGUAAAACAAACAAAUAAAUCAAAACUUUCAACAACGGAUCUCUUGGUUCUGGCAUCGAUGAAGAACGCAGCAAAAUGCGAUAAGUAAUGUGAAUUGCAGAAUUCAGUGAAUCAUCGAAUCUUUGAACGCACAUUGCGCCCGCCAGUAUUCUGGCGGGCAUGCCUGUUCGAGCGUCAUUUCAACCCUCAAGCUCAGCUUGGUGUUGGGACUCGCGGUAACCCGCGUUCCCCAAAUCGAUUGGCGGUCACGUCGAGCUUCCAUAGCGUAGUAAUCAUACACCUCGUUACUGGUAAUCGUCGCGGCCACGCCGUAAAACCCCAACUUCUGAAUGUUGACCUCGGAUCAGGUAGGAAUACCCGCUGAACUUAAGCAAU
rnacentral:rRNA from 1 species